rnacentral:rRNA from 1 species
GACGAACGCUGGCGGCGUGCUUAACACAUGCAAGUCGAACGAAGUGGCGAACGGGUGAGUAAUACGUGAGUAACCUGCCCUCCUUUUUGGGAUAAGCCUUGGAAACGGGGUCUAAUACCGCAUAAAGGGGGAUGGGCUCGGGGCCUAUCAGCUUGUUGGUGGGGUGAUGGCCUACCAAGGCGGUGCCGGGUAGCCGGCCUGAGAGGGGGACCGGCGACAUUGGGACGGCGAUAAGUCCCACAGUCCUACGGGAGGGAGCAGUGGGGGAUAUUGCACGAUGGGCGAAAGCCGGAUGCAGCGAGGCCGCGUGGGGGAUGAAGGCUUUCGGGUUGUAAUCCUCGUUCGCUAUCGUACGGGUAGGUGCAGAAGAAGCGCCGGCUAACUACGUGCCAGCAGCCGCGGUAAUAC